UACGUAGGGUGCGAGCGUUGCCCGGAUUUAUUGGGCGUAAAGGGCGCGUAGGCGGCCACGCACGUCCGUUGUGAAAUCGCCCGGCUCAACUGGGCGGGGUCAGCGGAUACGGUGUGGCUAGAGCAAGCUAGGGGGCAAUGGAAUUCCCGGUGUAGUGGUGGAAUGCGUAGAUAUCAGGAGGAACAUCGGUGGCGAAAGCGCUCUACUGGACCACAACUGACACUCAGGGACGAAAGCUAGGGGAGCGAAUGGG
rnacentral:rRNA from 1 species